rnacentral:rRNA from 1 species
AGCGGUAAGGCCCUUCGGGGUACACGAGCGGCGAACGGGUGAGUAACACGUGAGCAACCUGCCCCUGACUCCGGGAUAAGCGGUGGAAACGCCGUCUAAUACCGGAUAUGACACACCAUCUCCUGGUGGUGUGUGGAAAGUUUUAUCGGUCAGGGAUGGGCUCGCGGCCUAUCAGCUUGUUGGUGGGGUAAAGGCCUACCAAGGCGAUUACGGGUAGCCGGCCUGAGAGGGCGACCGGCCACACUGGGACUGAGACACGGCCCAGACUCCUGCGGGAGGCAGCAGUGGGGAAUAUUGCACAAUGGGCGAAAGCCUGAUGCAGCGACGCCGCGUGGGGGAUGACGGCCUUCGGGUUGUAAACCUCUUUUACCACCAACGCAGGCCCCGGGUUCUCUCGGGGUUGACGGUAGGUGGGGAAUAAGGACCGGCUAACUACGUGCCAGCAGCCGCGGUAAUACGUAGGGUCCGAGCGUUGUCCGGAAUUAUUGGGCGUAAAGAGCUCGUAGGCGGCGUGUCGCGUCUGCUGUGAAAGACCGGGGCUUAACCCCGGUUCUGCAGUGGAUACGGGCAUGCUAGAGGUAGGUAGGGGAGACUGGAAUUCCUGGUGUAGCGGUGAAAUGCGCAGAUAUCAGGAGGAACACCGGUGGCGAAGGCGGGUCUCUGGGCCUUACCUGACGCUGAGGAGCGAAAGCAUGGGGAGCGAACAGGAUUAGAUAC